AGCUGCUGCACUGCACCACCCUCCGAUUGAGCAGCAGUGCAACUGUUGACCGCUCCCUCGAAUCACGUAUUUCGUUGCAGGGGGUGCUCUUCCUAUUGCAGCUUCAGACAGAUGCCCGCAAUGAUACGUUAAAGUGGGUAAGAAAAUGACCGAAGGUCGGUUUUCCGGACGGCUAA